UCCAACUAUAUGUUCGUGGGUAAGCCCGCGGUGCAGGGAAGCCGGUGUGAAUCCGGCGCGGUCCCGCCACUGUGACCGGGGAGUGUGUCGCCGAGCAGUACGCCACUGACGUGCCCUGCACGUCGGGAAGGCGGGCGAUGCGCGCUGAUCCGGGAGUCAGGAUACCGGCCGUGGGGUGUUCCGUGUU
rnacentral:ncRNA from 2 species